UACGAAGGGGGCUAGCGUUGCUCGGAAUGACUGGGCGUAAAGGGCGCGUAGGCGGAUGGCACAGUCAGAUGUGAAAUUCCCGGGCUUAACCUGGGGGCUGCAUUUGAUACGUGUUGUCUUGAGUUCGGAAGAGGGUCGUGGAAUUCCCAGUGUAGAGGUGAAAUUCGUAGAUAUUGGGAAGAACACCGGUGGCGAAGGCGGCGACCUGGUCCGACACUGACGCUGAGGCGCGAAAGCGUGGGGAGCAAACAGGA
rnacentral:rRNA from 1 species